AGGGAUAUAACUCAACGGUAGAGUGUCAUCUUGACGUGGUGGAAGUCAUAAGUUCGAGCUUGAUUAUCCCUA
rnacentral:tRNA from 1 species